AGUGAACGCUGGCGGUAGGCCUAACACAUGCAAGUCGAACGGCAGCACAGUAAGAGCUUGCUCUUACGGGUGGCGAGUGGCGGACGGGUGAGGAAUACAUCGGAAUCUACUUUUUCGUGGGGGAUAACGUAGGGAAACUUACGCUAAUACCGCAUACGACCUACGGGUGAAAGCAGGGGAUCUUCGGACCUUGCGCGAUUGAAUGAGCCGAUGUCGGAUUAGCUAGUUGGCGGGGUAAAGGCCCACCAAGGCGACGAUCCGUAGCUGGUCUGAGAGGAUGGUCAGCCACACUGGAACGGAGACACGGUCCAGACUCCUACGGGAGGCAGCAGUGGGGAAUAUUGGACAAUGGGCGCAAGCCUGAUCCAGCCAGACCGCGUGGGUGAAGAAGGCCUUCGGGUUGUAAAGCCCUUUUGUUGGGAAAGAAAAGCAGCAGGUUAAUACCCCGCUGUUCUGACGGUACCCAAAGAAUAAGCACCGGCUAACUUCGUG
rnacentral:rRNA from 1 species